rnacentral:misc_RNA from 1 species
AACGCACGAGACCUGCGGACCUGCGGAGGGAUCAUUAUUGGAAAAAAACCUUAUACAAGUUGCAGGAGGGGAGGAAGUGAGUGGAUGGGGGUUUUUCUGUUCACUCUCUUUCUCUUCUUCUGCUUCUUCAAACAAACGAUCACAACUAUAUCGAGAGAUUGAAUUGAAUUGGAUUGGAUUGGAUGAUGAUUUGGUGGUGGGGGAAAAAAGGAGACAAGAAAAGUGCAGCGCAGAUAGACA